rnacentral:rRNA from 1 species
CCCACGGGAGGCAGCAGUGGGGAAUAUUGGGCAAUGGGCGCAAGCCUGACCCAGCAACGCCGCGUGAAGGAAGAAGGCUUUCGGGUUGUAAACUUCUUUUCUCAGGGACGAAGCAAGUGACGGUACCUGAGGAAUAAGCCACGGCUAACUACGUGCCAGCAGCCGCGGUAAUACGUAGGUGGCAAGCGUUAUCCGGAUUUACUGGGUGUAAAGGGCGUGUAGGCGGGAAAGCAAGUCAGAGGUGAAAACCAUGGGCUCAACCUGUGGCCUGCAUUUGAAACUGUUUUUCUUGAGUACUGGAGAGGCAGACGGAAUUCCUAGUGUAGCGGUGAAAUGCGUAGAUAUUAGGAGGAACACCAGUGGCGAAGGCGGUCUGCUGGACAGCAACUGACGCUGAGGCGCGAAAGCGUGGGGAGCAAACAGGAUUAGAUACCCCUGUAGUC